GGAAAUAUGAUUUAUCAAAUAAUAGCUGCUAACUAAUUAUUUUAACGGUUAAAAUACGUUUAUAUUUCUA
rnacentral:tRNA from 1 species